rnacentral:rRNA from 1 species
UCAGAGUUUUGAUCAUGGCUCAGAUUGAACGCUGGCGGCAGGCCUAACACAUGCAAGUCGAGCGGAAACGAGUUAUCUGAACCUUCGGGGAACGAUAACGGCGUCGAGCGGCGGACGGGUGAGUAAUGCCUAGGAAAUUGCCCUGAUGUGGGGGAUAACCAUUGGAAACGAUGGCUAAUACCGCAUGAUGCCUACGGGCCAAAGAGGGGGACCUUCGGGCCUCUCGCGUCAGGAUAUGCCUAGGUGGGAUUAGCUAGUUGGUGAGGUAAGGGCUCACCAAGGCGACGAUCCCUAGCUGGUCUGAGAGGAUGAUCAGCCACACUGGAACUGAGACACGGUCCAGACUCCUACGGGAGGCAGCAGUGGGGAAUAUUGCACAAUGGGCGCAAGCCUGAUGCAGCCAUGCCGCGUGUAUGAAGAAGGCCUUCGGGUUGUAAAGCACUUUCAGUCGUGAGGAAGGUAGUGUAGUUAAUAGCUGCAUUAUUUGACGUUAGCGACAGAAGAAGCACCGGCUAACUCCGUGCCAGCAGCCGCGGUAAUACGGAGGGUGCGAGCGUUAAUCGGAAUUACUGGGCGUAAAGCGCAUGCAGGUGGUUUGUUAAGUCAGAUGUGAAAGCCCGGGGCUCAACCUCGGAAUAGCAUUUGAAACUGGCAGACUAGAGUACUGUAGAGGGGGGUAGAAUUUCAGGUGUAGCGGUGAAAUGCGUAGAGAUCUGAAGGAAUACCGGUGGCGAAGGCGGCCCCCUGGACAGAUACUGACACUCAGAUGCGAAAGCGUGGGGAGCAAACAGGAUUAGAUACCCUGGUAGUCCACGCCGUAAACGAUGUCUACUUGGAGGUUGUGGCCUUGAGCCGUGGCUUUCGGAGCUAACGCGUUAAGUAGACCGCCUGGGGAGUACGGUCGCAAGAUUAAAACUCAAAUGAAUUGACGGGGGCCCGCACAAGCGGUGGAGCAUGUGGUUUAAUUCGAUGCAACGCGAAGAACCUUACCUACUCUUGACAUCCAGAGAACUUUCCAGAGAUGGAUUGGUGCCUUCGGGAACUCUGAGACAGGUGCUGCAUGGCUGUCGUCAGCUCGUGUUGUGAAAUGUUGGGUUAAGUCCCGCAACGAGCGCAACCCUUAUCCUUGUUUGCCAGCGAGUAAUGUCGGGAACUCCAGGGAGACUGCCGGUGAUAAACCGGAGGAAGGUGGGGACGACGUCAAGUCAUCAUGGCCCUUACGAGUAGGGCUACACACGUGCUACAAUGGCGCAUACAGAGGGCGGCCAACUUGCGAAAGUGAGCGAAUC